rnacentral:rRNA from 1 species
UGCAGUCGAGCGGUAUAUAUUGGAUUGAAACUUCGGUCGAAAGAAGAUAUAGAGAGCGGCGGACGGGUGAGUAACGCGUAGGCAACCUGCCCCAUACAGAGGGAUAGCCUCGGGAAACCGGGAUUAAAACCUCAUAACGCGAGAGAGUCACAUGGCUUUUUCGCCAAAGAUUUAUCGGUAUGGGAUGGGCCUGCGUCUGAUUAGCUAGUUGGUGGGGUAACGGCCUACCAAGGCGACGAUCAGUAGCCGACCUGAGAGGGUAAUCGGCCACAUUGGAACUGAGACACGGUCCAAACUCCUACGGGAGGCAGCAGUGGGGAAUAUUGCACAAUGGGCGAAAGCCUGAUGCAGCAACGCCGCGUGAGCGAUGAAGGCCUUUGGGUCGUAAAGCUCUGUCCUUGGGGAAGAAAAAAAUGACGGUACCCUUGGAGGAAGCCCCGGCUAACUACGUGCCAGCAGCCGCGGUAAUACGUAGGGGGCAAGCGUUAUCCGGAAUUAUUGGGCGUAAAGAGUGCGUAGGUGGUUUUGUAAGCGCGGGGUGAAAGGCAAUAGCUCAACUAUUGUAAGCCCUGCGAACUGUGAGACUUGAGUGCAGGAGAGGAAAGCGGAAUUCCUAGUGUAGCGGUGAAAUGCGUAGAUAUUAGGAGGAACACCAGUGGCGAAGGCGGCUUUCUGGACUGUAACUGACACUGAGGCACGAAAGCGUGGGGAGCAAACAGGAUUAGAUACCCUGGUAGUCCACGCCGUA